rnacentral:rRNA from 1 species
UACGGGGGGAGCAAGCGUUGUUCGGAUUUACUGGGCGUAAAGCGUGCGUAGGUGGUGAGUUAAGUCUGUCGUGAAAGCCCCGGGCUCAACCUGGGAAUGGCGAUGGAUACUGGCUCGCUAGAGCACGGUAGAGGCGAGUGGAAUUCCCGGUGUAGCGGUGGAAUGCGUAGAUAUCGGGAAGAACACCGGUGGCGAAGGCGGCUCGCUGGGCCGUUGCUGACGCUGAGGCGCGAAAGCGUGGGGAGCAAACAGG